UACGUAGGGGACAAGCGUUAUCCGGAUUUACUGGGUGUAAAGGGAGCGUAGGCGGCUUGGCAAGUCAGAAGUGAAAUCCCGCGGCUCAACUGCGGGCGUGCUUUUGAAACUGUCGGGCUAGAGUACUGGAGGGGCAAGCGGAAUUCCUGGUGUAGCGGUGAAAUGCGUAGAUAUCAGGAAGAACACCGGAGGCGAAGGCGGCUUGCUGGACAGAUACUGACGCUGAGGCUCGAAGGCGUGGGGAGCAAAC
rnacentral:rRNA from 1 species